AACGAACGCUGGCGGCAUGCCUAACACAUGCAAGUCGAACGAGACCUCCGGGUCUAGUGGCGCACGGGUGCGUAACGCGUGGGAACCUGCCCUUAGGUUCGGAAUAACUCCCCGAAAGGGGUGCUAAUACCGGAUAAUGUCUUCGGACCAAAGAUUUAUCGCCUUUGGAUGUGCCCGCGUUGGAUUAGCUAGUUGGUAGGGUAAAAGCCUACCAAGGCGACGAUCCAUAGCUGGUCUGAGAGGAUGAUUAGCCACACUGGGACUGAGACACGGCCCAGACUCCUACGGGAGGCAGCAGUGGGGAAUAUUGGACAAUGGGCGAAAGCCUGAUGCAGCAAUGACGCGUGAGUGAUGAAGGCCUUAGGGUUGUAAAGCUCUUUUACCCGGGAUGAUAAUGACGGUACCGGGAGAAUAAGCUCCGGCUAACUCCGUG
rnacentral:rRNA from 1 species